CUUACACUCUUAUCCAGCUCGAUCUUCACCUUCUUCUGGGAGAUGCUCUUCUGGAUCCUCUUGCUGAAGCUGGCGUUGCCUGCCGCUCGCCCGCACCGCUCACCGUCCUCACGCAAACAACAGAGUUGCCCGGGGCCCGGACCGGCCGCUCCAGGUGGCCCAGAAGCGGACACCGCACCGGCACCGGGUACCUCUGCCCCACCGCCGGCAGCGUUCCCAUUCCCCGCCGAGGCGGCGGCAGCUGCAGCAGCGACCACAGCGGCCACGGCGGCGGCCGCAUCCCCGCCUCGGCUCAUCUCCUCCGGAGUGAAGCCGUUCAUGUCUGCCAGUUCGGGGGCGCCGGCGCCGCUACAGAGCCCCGCUCGCCGCGCCGCUCCGCCUCCUUCCCCGGGGCGGCCGUUCACUCCGCACCCCAAGUCUGGCGGCCGCACGGUCCGACGCCCAGAGUCCAAAGCCUGCCGGUCUGCCGGUGCUGGAAUAGCGGCCCGUUCCUGUGACUGUGAUCAGGACUGGAGUGGCGCCUAGAAACGGGACCCCAC
rnacentral:lncRNA from 1 species